rnacentral:rRNA from 1 species
AUUGAACGCUGGCGGCAUGCUUUACACAUGCAAGUCGAACGGUAACAGGCCUUCGGGUGCUGACGAGUGGCGGACGGGUGCGUAAUGCAUCGGAACGUGCCCAGAGGUGGGGGUUAACGCAGCGAAAGCUGUGCUAAUACCCCAUGUGAUCUGAGGCUGACAGCGGGGGACCGGGCAGCAAUGUUUGGCCUCGCGCCUUUGGAGCGGCCGAUGUCGGAUUAGGUAGUUGGUGGGGUAAAGGCCUACCAAGGCGACGAUCUGUAGCUGGUCUGAGAGGACGAACAGGCAAAAUGGGACUGGGAAACGGCCCAGACUUCUAAGGGAGGGAGCAGGUGGGAAUUGUGGACAAUGGGGGGAAGCCUGAUCCAGCCAUGCCGGGGGCGGGAAAGAGGCCUUUCGGGUGGUAAACCCUUUUGGACGGAAAGAAAAGGCUGCGGCUAAUUACUGGGGUGGAUGACGGUACCGCAAGAAUAAGCAACGGCUAACUAUGUU